UGGGGGGGUGUGCCAGGGGAGGCGGUAGGACGUAGGGGGUCAGGGUGGGUGGGAAGUAUGGGGUGUAAAGGGUCAUGAGGCGGUGUGGCAAGUCGGGGUGGAGAUCUCGGGGCUUAACCCAGAGGCUGCGUCGGAAACGGCCAUGCUUGAGUGUGGGAGGGGCGCGUGGAAUUGCAGGUGUAGCGGUGAAAUGCGUAGAUAUCUGCAGGAACACCCGUGGCGAAAGCGGCGCGCUGGACCACAACUGACGCUGAAUGACGAAAGCUAGGGGAGCAAACAGGAUUAGAUACCCGGGUAGUC
rnacentral:rRNA from 1 species